rnacentral:lncRNA from 10 species
AGGAGACCAGAUCCAACUCGCAAUCAGCUAUAGUGAAGUUAUGAUAUGAGAAGCACCAACUUGGCACAAGACUUGGGAAAGGCAAUGAGGCAGCAGAUCAAGCUGCAGAGGAAACAGCCACCUGGGGCGUGUUCUUACGUUGCCUGGAAGCUGCACAAGAGGCCAAGUCAAAACAUGCAGAAUUCCAGUUGCCCAUGAUGUCACAGGCUGAGGCCCACACUCCAGAGACACUGUGGACUGACUGGCACCUAUGAGCUGACCUAAUAACAGUUACACCAUUACAGCUCCGAUUCUACAGAACAAUACAUAUCCAGUUCUUAUCUAUGCUUUGCAUGUGCUCUUUGAAACACAACCCUUCCCUAAACAGAAUUCUCUACCUGUUACCAUAUCUAGAGUGUAGGGCUCAGGGAAGACAGUAAAGGACACAGACUCUGAGAAAUGAACAUGAACUAGGGCUUAGAUGAAUAAAUGGAGCUACAACAAUAGUUAUAUUUUAGUGCAACUUCUGAAAAUUAAACUAAAGGAUCCACGGGUGUGGAAGACACAAUACCAGGGUGUGAGUCAGGGGAUGAGUGCUCAAGAAUGUUCUGUGUUUCCCAAAUCCACUAUAUGAAUGGCACGACCACUUUCCCAGGCAACUCAGUCUAAAACACUAGUUAGUUCUAACUUCUCACCUCCACGCAGUCACUUCCUAAUCCCACCUCUACGGCCUCUUUUAUUAUGCCUCUCUUUUCCCCUCGCCUUCCCCUUGUCAAGCUUUCCUCCCUGCCACACUCUAGUUCCUCCUCAGCACCUCCAAGCCAGCUGAUUGCAACAGGCUCCUAACAGAGCUUCUGACCUCCAGAAUGAGCAACACAAGCCAAA